rnacentral:rRNA from 1 species
UACGUAGGGUGCAAGCGUUAAUCGGAAUUACUGGGCGUAAAGCGUGCGCAGGCGGUUAUGCAAGACGGAGGUGAAAUCCCCGGGCUCAACCUGGGAACUGCCUUUGUGACUGCAUAGCUAGAGUACGGUAGAGGGGGAUGGAAUUCCGCGUGUAGCAGUGAAAUGCGUAGAUAUGCGGAGGAACACCGAUGGCGAAGGCAAUCCCCUGGACCUGUACUGACGCUCAUGCACGAAAGCGUGGGGAGCAAACAGG